rnacentral:snRNA from 1 species
GCGGAUGGGGGCCGGCGA